rnacentral:tRNA from 1 species
CAAAGUAGAGCUUGAAAGUUAAGCACCUCACUUACGUUGAGGAGUUCGUUGUGCAAAUCAAUGUAUUUUGA